GCGGGGAUGCCCGAGCAUGGUCAAAGGGGGCGGACUUAAGAGCCCGCUAGGAGAUCCGCUGGCGAAGGCCUGCGUGGGUUCGAGUCCCACUCCCCGCA
rnacentral:tRNA from 1 species